ensembl:lncRNA
AGGCCGGCGCGGGAGCGUGAGGUCAGCAGGGGCCGUGGGCGGUGGACGCCGGCGUGUCUUGGGUUCCGAGGGACCCAGCUGUCGGAAUGGACACGCGAAUACCUAAAAGAACAAAAGUUCUGCAAUGAAGAUUCCUUGUGAAACACUCGGGGUUAUAGUUUGAAGUGAACCAAACAGCCGGCUCAUUGUUUGAGAAACAGUUGUUUCACGGGUGAAUCGACUCCUCUUCGGCAGCCACUGGUUUGCUAAGGAUUUACUUUGAACAUUUCGAUGUGGGGCCUGGACGGCUAUCCCUUACCCGAAGUGUGAUGUGAUGUAAUUAGUUAAGAUGUGGCCAUACCGGCCUAGUGGGCCCUAAAUCCAGUGAGACUGGUAUCCUUAUAAGAAGACGGAGACACGGGGAGAAGAUGGCCCCGUGAUACCAGAAGCAGACUGGAGUGAUGCAUCUGCAAACCAGGAAACAUCAAGCAAUGCUGGCAACACCAUGAGAAGAGACAAGGGAGGACCCUUCCCUAGCACUUCAGAGGGCAGACGGCCCUUCUGGCACCGUGACUUGGGACUUCUAGCUUCCAGAACCCUGAGAGAAUACGCCUGUGGUUUGAAGCCACCCGGUCUUUGCCAGUGUGUCAUGGCAGCUCUAAGAAACCAACCCAGCGUGGUUAUGCAUUUUCCUUAAGUCCAGAUCUUGGCUAACAGGAAGUGGCAAGAAAAUAAGGAAAAGCCCACUCUCUCUCUCUCUCUCUCUGGCCAGGAUGGUGUCUCCUCCCACGUGGAGAAGGAGAGCUGCUCCUUCUGCCAUUACUGCCAUUACUGCUAAUGAAAAGUGAAAUGACAAGUGAGGAGUGAGAAAAUCGGAUGGCCCCUGGUGGGCACACGCUGUGGGACUCGCUAGCCAGUGUAAGGAGCUCGGAGAGGUGUGACAGCGCUCCCCAGAGAGGACGGUUCUCCAGAUUUUGAGAAAGGCACGUCUUCUCUGGUCAUCUCUAGUUUCAGACCCAGAGAAAAGCCCGGUUCUUGGCUGGUAUUUAAGCUCCUCAUUUUUGUCACAUUGCUUUCUCACUCUAAUGAUCUUGAUCAAGUUUUCACCCUGUGAGAGUCACACGCGGGAGGAAUGGGAUGGAGCGCUCAGCCGUUCACAGAGCCCAGCCCUGCCUCCCUCUGCUUGGUGUGCUUACUCUUGGCAAGAUGCAGCUUCCUGUUCAGAGAAAAAGGACUUAAAAAGGAUCGUAAAAUGGGCUCCCAAGGCUCCUUGAAUAGCAAAUAGCUUUUAAAAGACAACACUUUAAUGGCCUAUGAGUAUCCAAGUCAAAAACAAAAGUAUUGAAUAUCCCUUUAAAUGUGUAUGAGUUUAAAAAGCAAGAUGGGAAUAGAUUUGGCAAAGUUUCUUCUGGAUUUUAUAGAAUUCAAAAUGCUCAAAAAAUUUUUACCUAUACGCCCACACACAACUGCAAAACUUUUAUAAACGACGUGGGGAGAUAACAAAAAUGAUAUUGUGCAAAUCCAAACAGUAUGCAGCUUCUGCAUUGCUGUGCCUGAUGGAAAUAUUUCUCUCUUUUAUGAGCGUCUCUCUGUGCGUGGAGAAGGAAGAAAGAUGGGCGUAUGAGGCAGGGAGGGGAGAAAGGAGGAAGAGAAGCCUAUUCCGGGCUUCAUGGCCGUUCUCAGUACUCACUCGUGUGUCCUCUAAAUGGAACCAUUUGCUGUACAUUUUGAAUUGCUAACAUUUGGUAGACUAGGGGACAAUGGAUUUUUGCGUAAACUAUGAAUUUUAUGACAAUGAAUUAGCAUGUUCAUUGAACAGAAAGUAAACAAAGCUUAGUACAAAAUCGGUUCAGUAGAUAACCUAACUCUUCUGCUGCUUAAUGAAGUGUUGGUGAUGAAACCAAAACAAAUAGCUUUAUGCUUUGUAAAGCACAGGGAAACG